rnacentral:rRNA from 1 species
UAGGGAAUAUUGGGCAAUGGUCUAGCGACUGACCCAGCCAUGCCGCGUGCAGGAAGACGGCCUUAUGGGUUGUAAACUGCUUUUAUACGGGGGUAAUUUUGGAUACGUGUAUCCAAUUGAAAGUACCGUAAGAAUAAGGAUCGGCUAACUCCGUGCCAGCAGCCGCGGUAAUACGGAGGAUCCAAGCGUUAUCCGGAUUUAUUGGGUUUAAAGGGUGCGCAGGCGGAUUGAUAAGUCAGCGGUGAAAUUUCUCGGCUUAACUGAGAGACUGCCGUUGAUACUGUUAGUCUAGAGUAUAGUUGGCGUGGGUGGAAUAUGUCAAGUAGCGGUGAAAUGCUUAGAUAUGACAUAGAACACCGAUCGGGUAGCCAGCUCACGAAACUAUAACUGACGCUCAAGCACGAAAGCGUGGGGAUCAAACAGGAUUAGAUACCCCUGUAGUCC